rnacentral:rRNA from 1 species
AGCGCAGGCGGUUUCUUGAGUCUGAUGUGAAAGCCUUCGGCUCAACCGAAGAAGUGCAUCGGAAACUGGGAAACUUGAGUGCAGAAGAGGACAGUGGAACUCCAUGUGUAGCGGUGAAAUGCGUAGAUAUAUGGAAGAACACCAGUGGCGAAGGCGGCUGUCUGGUCUGUAACUGACGCUGAGGCUCGAAAGCAUGGGUAGCAAACA